AUAAAUGAGAAAAAUUUCAGGCACUGAUAAAACAGGAAAAAAUGGGUACUUUUUAAAAAAUAUAAUUUGGACUUUUAUUUUAGAUUCAAGGAAUACAUCCACUUAUAAGUGAGGUUAGCAUUGGGUAGCCGUAGACAUAAAGAUGAGAACAUGGUGUAUUUGAUUUCCUGUUCCUGUGUCAAGUCACUUGGAAUAAUAGCCUCCAGCUGCAUCCAAGUUGCUGCUGCAAAGGACGUGGUUUCAUUCUUUUUUAUGGCUGCAGAGUAUUCCGUGAUGUGUAUUUGCCAUAUUUUCUUUAUCCAUCCAUAACACAUGUUAUUUUUAAAUCUCAAACAGCUUACAAUCUGCAUAGUGUACAAUAUAUAUGAGUAAACACUUGUGUAAGUAUUGAUAAUUAUCAUUCACAGAUUAUUUAAUACGUGUCUUACAUUGUUCAGGACAUUCAUACAUAUUUCCUCAUUUAAUUAUUAAUAUGCUGUGAUUUAUUAUUAUUACUCCUACUUUUUAGAUAGAAGCACUCAACAGUUGAGAGCCAAAUAAUCUGCUAAUAUUACAGAGUGUAGAAAUUUCACACCUGGUACUCAAACCCAGGCCAUCAGACCUCAAUGCCCUUCCUCUUAAAGUCUACCCCAGGAAAUCAAAGAGAAAACUGAAAAUUGGCCAGGAGCUAGAGGGAAUAUUACAUACAGUGCAACACUGUCAUACGGCUGACUUCUUAGAAGUAAUGGAGACUAAAAUUUAACAAAAUAACAUAUUUAGAGUUCUAAAAGAUUAUUUUGUAAUCUGUCAACCCAGAACUAUCUAUCUAGUGGGACAAUCCUUUCAAAUGAAGCUAAAACAAAAGCAUUUUCAAACAAAAAUGCCUCAGAGAUUUUGCACUCAACAGACAGGAACUACAAAAAAUGGUCAAUGAGAAUCUUCAGAAAGAAGGGAAAUGAUAUAUGAUAGAAUGCAGAUCUUCCAGAAAAAAAAGAUUGCUAGGAAACUGAAAAUUGAGGCUGCCUAUACAUUACCUUGUAAUUAUUUUUAUGAAUGAUUUUAUGUGUGUGUAUAUAAAAAUGAAGAUGUAUUAAAAGAUGAAGAGAAAGAAUUUAAAAUGAAUACAAAA
rnacentral:lncRNA from 1 species